GAGUUUUUGAUGUCGCAGAUACUGCAUCAGGAACUGAUUGGAUAAUAAUCAGGCACCAUCAGUUCCUAAUGCAUUGCCUUCAGCAUCUAAACA
rfam:Merops nubicus contig92143, whole genome shotgun sequence.